ensembl:piRNA 21ur-15569 ncRNA
GUCUCUUGACGCUUCGGAAGU